UCAGAGAUAAUUAAAUGCAGGGGGUCUA
rnacentral:piRNA from 1 species